CAGUCGUACCGACGAGAAAUCAACCUUUCGAGUGCGAACCUGUGGACGUGCGUGGGUCUUUAACGGGCCUCGCUGUUUGCAAUGUUUGUGCUUUUGGGGUGUACUUUUUCGUAUGGUAGGCCAACGUCAGUUUCGAUCACCGUAAAAUGAUCGGAGGAAUGUAGCUUUAANCUCGUAUUGAAGUGUUAUAGCCUCUGGUAGAUGCGGUGACCCGAAACUGAGCAUUGCAACGAAUCCCUUCUGGGCUAUCCGUCUGACCUCUGAAAGUUGCUUAGGUGCCGAAAGCGUGCUUACGGCUAUUAAGUUGACGGUCAACGAGGUUAGAACGCGAUUACAUUCGUUAA
rnacentral:rRNA from 1 species